CGGCGGACGGGUGAGUAAUGCCUAGGAAUCUGCCUGGUAGUGGGGGACAACGUUUCGAAAGGAACGCUAAUACCGCAUACGUCCUACGGNGAAGCAGGGACCUUCGGGCCUUGCGCUAUCAGAUGAGCCUAGGUCGGAUUAGCUAGUUGGUGAGGUAAUGGCUCACCAAGGCGACGAUCCGUAACUGGUCUGAGAGGAUGAUCAGUCACACUGGAACUGAGACACGGUCCAGACUCCUACGGGAGGCAGCAGAC
rnacentral:rRNA from 1 species